GAUGAACGCUGGCGGUAUGCUUAACACAUGCAAGUCGAACGGACUCUUCGGGGUUAGUGGCGGACGGGUGAGUAACGCGUGAGAAUCUGGCUUUGGGUUCGGGACAACCACUGGAAACGGUGGCUAAUACCGGAUGUGCCGAGAGGUAAAAGAGAAAUUGCCUGAAGAUGAGCUCGCGUCUGAUUAGCUAGUUGGUGAGGUAAAGGCUCACCAAGGCAGCGAUCAGUAGCUGGUCUGAGAGGAUGACCAGCCACACUGGGACUGAGACACGGCCCAGACUCCUACGGGAGGCAGCAGUGGGGAAUUUUCCGCAAUGGGCGAAAGCCUGACGGAGCAAUACCGCGUGAGGGAAGAAGGCUCUUGGGUUGUAAACCUCUUUUCUUAGGGAAGAACAAAAUGACGGUACCUAAGGAAUCAGCAUCGGCUAACUCCGUG
rnacentral:rRNA from 1 species